GCGGUGCUGCUAGGCUUUGCCUGUGGUUUUCGGCUAAUCUGUUGGUCUUUUGGAUCUGAUUUGGUCAUAGGGGUGUUUAAAAUUAAAUUCUGAGUAAAGGAGAAAAUUUUUACCUCUUUUGGCAGUCGGAAGUGUCUCCGGCGCGGCGGUGAGUGACGGCGUCUCUCCGUCCCAGCGACUGGGUCUUCUUCUCUGGCGAGGGUAUCCAGCGACUAGGGUUAGGGUUUGGUGUGAAGAGGGUUAUUUAUACCCGUUUCCUUUUAAUCUUAGCCGUCCAUCGCAUUUGAUCUUGACCAUUCGAUCGCGAUUAAAUAAAAAGUGUAUCUGAACCGUUGAUCGCAUUUAAUUCUAACCGUCCGUGGCCGCGGGAGCGGAUCUGGUUGUCCGAUCGCGGGCACGCGGAUCGCCCACAUGGCACUGCGUCAAUGUCCGUUGCCACGCGACAUGUCCUGGUUUGUCAGGGUUGCUGACUGGGCAUCCUACGUGGCACAACUUUCAUAAAUUAUAUUUUGACC
rnacentral:lncRNA from 1 species